rnacentral:rRNA from 1 species
CCUACGGGAGGCUGCAGUGGGGAAUAUUGGACAAUGGGCGAAAGCCUGAUCCAGCCAUGCCGCGUGUGUGAAGAAGGCCUUCGGGUUGUAAAGCACUUUCAGUGGGGAAGAAAGCCUUGGGGCUAAUACCCUCGAGGAAGGACAUCACCCACAGAAGAAGCACCGGCUAACUCCGUGCCAGCAGCCGCGGUAAUACGGAGGGUGCGAGCGUUAAUCGGAAUUACUGGGCGUAAAGCGCGCGUAGGCGGUCUGAUAAGCCGGUUGUGAAAGCCCCGGGCUCAACCUGGGAACGGCAUCCGGAACUGUCAGGCUAGAGUGCAGGAGAGGGAGGUAGAAUUCCAGGUGUAGCGGUGAAAUGCGUAGAGAUCGGGAGGAAUACCAGUGGCGAAGGCGGCCCUCUGGACUGACACUGACGCUGAGGUGCGAAAGCGUGGGUAGCAAACAGGAUUAGAUACCCCAGUAGUC